GGGAAAAUACCUACCCAAGGGCACAUAAUCUGUACAUGAGAGAGAGCCAGAUGUAACAGACUGAGUACUGGACUUGGGGUUAAACAGACUGUGAAUCCUUCCACCCCAUUGGGAGGAAUAACUGGGCCCUGGAUAGAAUGUGAUGAAUGAAUAUUCUUAAUGAGAAGUGGAAAUAAUUUGUGGUUGAGAGCUGUGCCUCAGAUCAGAGUGACAGGAUACAUGGCUAGGCUAUAUUUUCCAGCAGAUUAAGAGCUGCAGCCCAAGACUCUGAAAUAUGAAGAAAAAAGGAGAAGAUGACAGCAUAUCUUUUUAAAGAAAUAUUUUCCAGCCAAAUGGUGCAGCAGAGGACUUCCAGGAAUUUGUUCUUGUUCUGUAUCAAAGGUGAAGAGUUCGUAGCCUUCAAGGAAACAAGAAACCAUGGGAUGGAGUGAAGGAAGGUGGCCUGGAACCAGCUGCUGAGCCUCUCUGAGCCCCAGUUUCCUCAUCUCUAAAAUGGGGCUGAUCUCCUCUCCCUCAGACUGUUGUUGCAGGAAUUAAAACAGGUGUUGAGUGGGAAAGCAUCAGUCCCAUAGCAAAUGGCCCCUGAGUAGUAGGAUCUGAGUUCUGGUUCUGGUCCUGCUGGGGUAUGGCUGGUUGAGAGGUCAAAGAGGUAAUUAAAAGGAUUGCCAGCUUCAUUAUUGGGAGCUGAGAUUCCAUUUUAGACCAAGAGUGUGACCAAGGUGGUAACCUUAA
rnacentral:lncRNA from 1 species